GAUGAACGCUGGCGGUAUGCUUAACACAUGCAAGUCGAACGGACUCUUCGGAGUUAGUGGCGGACGGGUGAGUAACGCGUGAGAAUCUGGCUUUGGGUUCGGGACAACCACUGGAAACGGUGGCUAAUACCGGAUGUGCCGAGAGGCAAAAGAGAAAUUGCCUGAAGAUGAGCUCGCGUCUGAUUAGCUAGUUGGUGAGGUAAAGGCUCACCAAGGCAGCGAUCAGUAGCUGGUCUGAGAGGAUGACCAGCCACACUGGGACUGAGACACGGCCCAGACUCCUACGGGAGGCAGCAGUGGGGAAUUUUCCGCCAUGGGCGAAAGACUGACGGAGCAAUACCGCGUGAGGGAAGAAGGCUCUUGGGUUGUAAACCUCUUUUCUUAGGGAAGAACAAAAUGACGGUACCUAAGGAAUCAGCAUCGGCUAACUCCGUG
rnacentral:rRNA from 1 species